GGCCUUUUGAUUAUAAUUUAAGGUCGGGCCUGCCCAAUGAAAAAUUUAAUGGCCGCGGUAUAUUAACUGUGCAAAGGUAGCAUAAUCAUUAGUUUUUUAAUUGAAAGCUGGAAUGAAGGGUUUAAUGAAAAAAGUUCUGUCUUUAUUUAAAUUUAUUARAAUUUUAUUUUUAAGUUAAAAAGCUUAAAUAAUUAUUGAAGACGAGAAGACCCUAUAGAGUUUUAUAUUUUAAAAGAUUGUUGUAUUUGGUAAAUUUUAACUUAAUUUUUAAAAGUAUUUAAUUGGGGUGAUUGAAAAAUUAAAAGAACUUUUUUUUAUUGAAACAUAAAUGCAUGAAUGGAUGAUCCUUUUUUUAGAUUAAAAGAGCAAAUUACCUUAGGGAUAACAGCGUAAUUUUUUUUAGAGUUCUUAUCAAAAAAAAAGAUUGCGACCUCGAUGUUGGAUUAAAAUAAGUUUUUGGUGCAGAAGCUGAAAAACUAGGUCUGUUCGACCUUUAAAUUUUUACAUGAUCUGAGUUUAGACCGGUUUGAG
rnacentral:rRNA from 1 species